rfam:Ictidomys tridecemlineatus contig009439, whole genome shotgun sequence.
GGGGAUUUAGCUCAGUUGGUAGGGUGCUUGUCUUGCAUGCAUAAGGGUCUGAGUUCAAUCCCCAGCAUCACCA